rnacentral:tRNA from 1 species
UGGUGCGGGUAGCGGGUGCGGCUGGCGGCGUCGAGCUCGACGUGCUCGAGCAGCUGACCGACGUCCCAGGCGUCGCGCACCGG